rnacentral:rRNA from 1 species
AGGACGAACGCUGGCGGCGUGCUUAACACAUGCAAGUCGAACGGUGAAGCCCUUCGGGGUGGAUCAGUGGCGAACGGGUGAGUAACACGUGAGCAAUCUGCCCUUGACUCUGGGAUAACUUCGGGAAACCGGAGCUAAUACCGGAUACGACGCACGGAGGCAUCUCCUGUGUGUGGAAAGAUUUUAUCGGGUCGAGGAUGAGCUCGGCGGCCUAUCGAGCUUAGGUUGGUAGGAAGGUAAGUGGCUCAACCGAAGGCGACGGACGGGUACGCCCGGCC